rnacentral:tRNA from 11 species
GCCGCUUUAGCUCAGUGGUAGAGCACCCGCCUUGUAAGCGGACGGUCGUCAGUUCAAAUCUGACAAGCGGCUCCA